ACAUGCCCACAACAUAGCGUUAAUGCACCGAAUCCCAUUAAAACUCCGCAGUUAAGCAUGCUUAGGCUAGAGUAGUACUGGGAUGGGUGAUCACCCAGGAGGUCCUAAUGUUUUACAUGCC
rnacentral:rRNA from 1 species